rnacentral:rRNA from 1 species
ACUACAGAAGAGUCAAGCUUUAAUUAGGAAUUUUAUCAAAUCCCUUUGGCCUACUGAAGUUAAGCAGGUCUGUGCCCGGUCAGUAUCUAGAUGGGAGACCACAUGGGAAAGCUUGCUUUCGGAAGUG